rnacentral:lncRNA from 10 species
GUCUGUCAUGUCCAGCCUGUGAAGAGCACGCUGGCUGAGCUGGCGAGAGGGGUGGGGGCGUCCUGGGGCUGCUUCUGCUCUGAUGAAGGCACCCACUGUCACUGUCCCGGCCCUCGCUGAGUGUUCCCGGACCCGUGGGCCCGCGUCUGUGCCAGGCCUUGGGGAGCUCCAGCCUCGGAGCCUCUUCCCGUUCUCAGACCUCAGUGCGAGGAGGAAAUCGGCUGUGUGGCACUGGCAGGCAAUGUGAUCUCUCUGAACCCCGGCUUUCUCCUGGGCAAACGGGGAUGCUGGUUCCAGCCUGCGGGUGGCUGGACUCAACAGGCAUUGCUUGCAUCCUACUGUGGGGCCACUCCACAGGCAGGUGUUGCAGGAGAGGGACUGAGACGCAUCACCCCAGGUGGCCGUGGGCGGAGAGCGCUACCCUCGCGUGGCCUGGUCUGUCCCAGCUCCUGGCUGGC